ACUUUUAGGCUUAGCUUUCCUACUUCAAGUAGGAAACCUCAAAUCUUCAACUCUUCAAUUCCAUCCCAACCUUGCGUUCCAAGCAUGUCCUUUUCAAUUCAAGCUCACUUUUUGCUCCAAAAGCUCCAAAUUGCAUCAUUUCAUGUAAUACGUCCGCUAAACCUGAAAACACAAGAAAGUAGCUUAAAAGACUACUUUAACAAAGAAAACAUAACAAAAAUGCAUAAGAACUAGCUAACUAAGGCGCAUAAAUAUGCUCCUAUCAAAUUCCCCCACACUUAGCUUUUGCUAGUCCUCGAGCAAAACAAACAAAAGAAAGAAAACAAAACGAAACAAAUUAACCAAAACAAACCUAAACCUUCCAACGUUUGCCUCAGGGAUUUCCAAUACACAUGACGUAUUAAAGAUUGUUAUCCCCACAGAUUUGAGUCAUCUUUACACAAGCACAUACUUAAUUAAAGCCACCACUUACUAGUUCACAAGUAAUCAAUUAAAACAAUGCUUUGAAUGUAGUAACAUGCCUUAGAGAAUUCCCUCAAUUCCUUACAAGAUAUACACUCUAUUUUCACUCAGAUUUUCUAACUCCACACCCUACACUAGUCAUAUGUGAGAAGAUUGAUGUAGAUAUGAAAACGAAUGCUCACAUAUAUGUAUCACAAAGAACGCAAUUUCUAGAGUUAAGAAGCAUGUUUAGAUAUGAUCUCAUGAAUGGAAUGCUACUACUUAGAUGCGAGAACCAGUGACACCAUAUGCUCAUACCAAAUUCAAACUCCACAAAUUGAAACACAUAACACUCAAGAUAGAAGUUAAGGGUUGUAAUGGGGCUUGGGGUGUUGGUUAACAAGGAAAGGAUAAGGACAACAAACGUUCUUCAAGCGAUAGUAAGCAAAGUAAUGAAAUUGAGACUUAGAAUUCACUUAGAUUGCAGAAAUUAACUUUAAAACACAAGGGAAAGAUUUAGACAACUCUUUAGGGCCGAAUUCAUUGUUUUGGACCCUUACUUCAACAAACAAUCCUUUGGAACUCUUUUUCUUUUUUUUUUCAAACUGUUUUUUCAUACUUUUCACACUUUUUUCUUCAUUUUUUCUUUUUCCACGAAUUUUUUUUUCUUUUCUUUGCCGUGCCUAUGGCACACAAUUCCUCAUGAAAAAUACUUCCCCCACACUUGGUUUCUGCCAACAUAGAUCAAAAGGAAUUCAAUUCGAAUCAUGCUUUACUAUUCUUUAAGAACAAGGGUAUGGAUGGUCCUAAACUAGGCUAGGUGAGGAUAAUGUGGGUUAACAACAACAUAGGCUAAACAAGGCUCAACGGGGUUAAAACCUACAAAACAUAAUGACAUAGGGGAUUCAUGGCUUUUUGGCUAAGGUGGUGGUCACUACACAACUUCAUCUUGAAUAUGUGUUAUGCAAAUCAAUAACAUGCUUUGAAUGAAAUGGGCAUGAGUUCUAGCAUUUGGAACUAAAUGAUGAAACGCCUUCUAAGUAGCAACCAAGCAAGGAAUAAUGAGAUCAUGCAACGACUUAGAAAACAAAGAAUGCACAGAUUUUAACUCUCCAAAUAAGCUUUUAGGCUCAAGUCUCACAAGGUUGUAGCGUUAGUUUGAGUUCCUUCCUUCAAGCAUGUUACAAAAACUGAUUUUUUUUUUCUUUUAUGAUUGCAUGUGAAUUCAUGAGUUAUAACCACAACUAAGCAUAAACAAAGAGUAAAUCAAACUUUCAUCCAUGUUAAUCACUCUCUUUAACAGUCAUGCACUUAAAAACCAAAUCCUCAUCAUUGUGUUGGAAGGUACCCUAAGACACAAACAAACACACAAAAACAACUCUUUUUGGGUUUUUUUUAAAACAAAUUUUUCAAAUUUUUAUGUGAUUUUCGGAUUUUUGCAUCAAAACACACUAAAACACAUCAAAACUGCUCAAAAACACUUAAAAACAGCAAGGAACAAGUAUCCAAGUUAAGGGUGAUAAAAUCCCACGAAUUUGCAUCUAAAACACUUAGUUACCCCCCCACACUUAAAUCAAACAUUGUCCUCAAUGUUUCAAGCAUAAAAUCACACUAAACAAAAAGAAACACACAAACAGCAACUAAAACAACUAAAUAGGUAGAUUCGAAAUAAAUAAC
rnacentral:lncRNA from 1 species